UGGCUAUCAGGAGAUGUCAGUUGGUAGCAUGGGGUAGGGAAGGCUGAGCAUCUGUUCCAGAGGGGUGGAUGAAGCCGCUAAGAGGUGACAGUUGGGGACGAGCAGGGAGCCAAGGAGCAGUUUUUGCAAGCAGUGGUUUCCGGAAUGAUGAAGCGUUCUCAAAGAUGAGGUGAGAAAGAAUGAGGCCUCAGAAUAUUUGAAGAAACAAUGGUUAAGAAUUUUCCAAUCUGAUGAAAAAUAUUAAAGACCAAAGAAAGAGAAAAUCUAGAAAGCAGCCAGAG